rnacentral:rRNA from 1 species
AGUGAACGCUGGCGGUAGGCCUAACACAUGCAAGUCGAACGGCAGCACAGUAAGAGCUUGCUCUUACGGGUGGCGAGUGGCGGACGGGUGAGGAAUACAUCGGAAUCUACUUUUUCGUGGGGGAUAACGUAGGGAAACUUACGCUAAUACCGCAUACGACCUACGGUUGAAAGCAGUGGAUCUUCGGACCUUGCGCGAUUGGAUUAGCCGAUGUCGGAUUUGCUGGUUGGCGGGGUAAAGGCCCACCAAGGCGACGAUCCGUAGCUGGUCUGGGAGGAUGAGCAGCCGCACUGGAACUGGGACACGGACCAGACGCCUACGGGAGGCAGCAGUGGGGAAUAUUGGACAAUGGGCGCAAGCCUGAUCCAGCCAUACCGCGUGGGUGAAGAAGGCCUUCGGGUUGUAAAGCCCUUUUGUUGGGAAAGAAAAGCAGCAGGUUAAUACCCCGCUGUUCUGACGGUACCCAAAGAAUAAGCACCGGCUAACUUCGUG